CGCCGUCCCCGACUCCAGCCGCCCCCGCGGGGGGCUCUGCGCGGUCACGGGACCCGCCGCCUUCUCUGCGCCGGUUCCGGGCGGCCGCGGCCAGAGCGAGGACAAGCGAACACCUGACAUUGUAGCCCAGGCUAGCCCAGAACUAAUUAUGCAGCUUAGGCUGGACUCCGACUCCAGGAAAUCUUCCUCUUCAGACUCCAGAAUGUUGGGAUUCUAGGCUGAGCCAAAACACCAUCAAUUACAUUUGAGAUGGGGCCAGAAGAGGGCACCAGAUCCCCUGAAACUGGAGUCAAGGACAGUUGGAAGCUGCCAUUGUGGAUGUUGGGAGCCAAACUCAGGUCCUUUGCAAAGACAGCAAGCGCUCCUAACCUCCAAGCCAUCUCUUCAUCCACACAGCAAUUUUACAAGACAUCUCAAGCACCUUUAGAGACCUCCCCUCACUUGCCUUACCCAGUACCUUUCUCCAGCCAGGUGCCUGUGGUGGAGCGUCACUGCUUGAACAGCAAGUGCAUUCUUGGACCACAGAGCAACGUUUUCAUCAGUGACAGGCCAUGCAUACCGUAAAUGCAAUAGUCUCAUAAGAUUCUGCUGGAGCUGAAGAGAAUCAGAAUCUACAGAAGAAAAAGAAAAUCCAAGAAGCACUCAGCAGAAGUUUGCAGACCUCAGCAAGCUCCUUCACUCGGCUCUCAGAGCUCAGAAAUGGCAGGAUUCGGUGCAACAGAAAACUUUUUGGUAGAAUAUAAGUGCAGAGGAGAAGAAACUGGCCAAGCACAAAUAUAACACCAACACAUCAGUCAAACUGGAACUAGGGCCUCGGGUAACCCAUGCUGGCUUCACACCAGCUACAUAGUCAAGGAUGGCCUCCAACUUCCGGUCCCCCGUCUACAUUUCCACCAUUUGGAACUACAGUUGAGUACCACACUGCCUGAUUUCUAUGGUGCUGGGUCUCCAACCCAGGGUUUCAUGCAUGUUAGGGAAACAUUCUACCAAUUGAGCUACACCUCCAAACCUAUCUCUUUUUCAUUUCUAAAGGGACUGCCUUGCUGUUUCCAUCACUACCACAUCAUGGUACAUUUCGACAAACAAUGCACAGAAGCUAAAAACACUGAUUAGGCACAGGUACAGCAACACACAUUUGCAACCCAGCACUCAGGAGGUGAGACAGGAGUUCAAGGCCGGCUUCAGCUAUACAGUCAGUUUGAGGACAGCCUGGCCGACAAAAAAGCAAAACAAAACAAAAAAAACAAACAAAAAAGAAAACAAAACAAGCAAACAACUUGUCUAAAAAAUAUUGAAAAUAUUUUUUCUAACACAGAAGGGUCUCCCUAAUAGAAAAGGGUUUUGAUUUUUGUUGGGUUUUGUUUUGUUUGAGACAGGGUCUCACUAUGUAGCCCUGACUGACCUGCUUCUGCGGAGAUUAAAGGAGAUUAAAGGCAUGCACCACCAAGCCUGGGCCCUAACAGGGAGAAAUGUGACUGGUGCAUUGUCUGUUCAUUUGUUUAGUUUUGUUUUGAGAAGUCUGAACUAAGAUAUUCUGAGGUUCCUGAGACACAGGCAGUAAACACAGCUCAUAAACCCUUCACAAGGCCCCUCCCCAGGUUACAGUAACGGUGAAGAAGCCUGGGAAGAGGAGGAGGAGGCUCACGGACAGAGCUGCUGCAGGCUGGGGCAGAGGGCUCCAGGGAUGCAGCCUCUGUGACUUGCCACACAUCCUGGGACGGGCUUUUCGAUGAUGCACCCGCCGUUGGCUGGCCCUACUCCUGUAAGUAACCACAACCUGUUCAUUGGCUUGCCCAGGAGGCCUUAGUGGAAGGUUGGUACUGGUCUGUUCUUGGUGACCAUCUGGGAUGAAGAAGGGUUUGUUCAAUUAUCUGCAGGAAGUCUCACACCAAGGUCUCACUAGUAGGCUGGCCUCCGCAUCCUGCCUCAGUCUUUCAAAUUCUGGGAUUACAGGCCUAGGCAUUGUACCUGGCCACAGCCAAAUUUAUGAUGAGAAAGAGAAAUGGGGGCCAAAAAAAGAUCAUGAGAGCAUUUCUGAAAACAGCUGCUCUCGCCGGGCGGUGGUGGCGCGCGCCUUUAAUCCCAGCACUCGGGAGGUGUGAGUUCGAGGCCAGCCUGGGCUACCAAGUGAGUUCCAGGAAAGGCGCAAAGCUACACAGAGAAACCCUGUCUUGAAAAACCAAAAAAAA